AAAUUUAAUAUGAAUAAUUCGCUUGCGGGUAUGGGUAUUUAGCAAAAGGAGGAAACAAAAGGACCCAGAGAUUAGAGAAGGUAUGCUUCAAUUUAAUAUGAAUAAUUCGCUUGGCGUAGGGGUACAUGUAUUUAGAAAACGGAGGAAACCGAAUGACCCAGCGAAAAAACUCAAGAGAUUGGACAGGCGACUCUACUCCUUGAAAUUGAAACCAUGCCACUUAACACAAUGACAGACCCUGUGAUUUCAUGCGCAUGCAUUACCUACUAGACCAUUCCCCCCAGCCCCACCCCAUAUCGAAUAAAAUUUCAAUAUUGGAUGUAUAUGCAAAUCACCCAGAAAAAGAUCAUGUAAUAACAAAAGAAAUUAUAAAAGAAAAAAAUGGAAGAAGAAAUGGCUGGAAAAAAUGAUGAUAGAGCAGCUUUUUCUUGUUACCCACCUCGGAAGAUCAAGUUGGAAAGGGCUAUUGAUAUUGUGGAGACGUUUUCUCACAGAUCUUGCUUAUCAGACAAAGACUAUGCUGGAACACCAUUGAAAGAGUAUUUGCUGUAUGAUAACAACAAGAAAACCCAAGCAUCAAUUUAUUUUAUACUUCUGGGAAAGAAUGCAUUUGACCCAAUUUUUAAAUAUUUAUUUUUUGUUAUUAAUGUUAAAUUUUCUUCCAAAACACAAUUAGAUUUUAAUUCUCUUCAGAAAUGUAUGUAUAAUAUAGCAAGUAAAGUGACAUAUAAAUCACUUAGAAUUUGGUCAGAAAUCAUAAAGUAUUUAAUAGGCAUUACUAGAAACCAAAUGUAGAUCAAAUACACCCAGAAUUACAAAAAAUCUUGACCUACAUAAAGGUGACUUUCCCUUGCUUAUGAAAUGAAAUACGGUUUAGUAUCCUACUUUUCUGUGUUCUUAGAGUGAUUCUGCCCUACACCCUACUCUUAUAUCAAAUAUUUCAACUGUCAAGGGUUCUUUAACGGGAACCCGGGGGGGGGGGGGCAAUGAUUAACACGCACACAUUUGAUCAGGAAGUCUGUCAUUGAGUCAAAUAAUUCAAUUGUCAAGGGUUCUUCUAAGUGAACGCAGUGGGGAUGGUUUCGAUUCCGGGAAUGGGGGAGGGGGGGUGGAUGGCCGAAUGGUAAGCACGUGCGUGCGGUAUCAUACGGCCUGUCAUUGAGUCAACUGGCGUGGUUUCGAAUCCCCGGUUGUACGUGACAAGGAGUAGGGUCGCCUGUCCAAUCUUGUGGGUUUUCUCCGGGACCUCCGGUUUCCUCCCACUGCUAAAGACCCCUAUGCGCAACGAAUUAUUGAAAUAAAAUUAAACCAUAUGUUAAUCCCGAAAUGACCUAGUUUGUGUCAAGUGGACGUUAAACCCCAUUUCUCUCUCUCUCUCUUUCGAUUCCGGGCUUGUACCCAAUUAUCCCUUGCCAUAUCAAACACUACUGACAAGUGGGAACUGUGCCGGAAAAUCCAGUUGAAAUUUCUCGGCCAACACCUUUUACUCACUGAACCACUGUGGCUUAUGACUUGUGAUUGUAUAUAAAUGUUUUGUACAUAUGAUAUUUUUUUAUUUCAAUCCUGUAAUCUUGAUGCUUUGCUUCUUUUAUUUACAAAAUAUUCAUUUUGUUUGGGUUUUUUUUAAUGAGGAAAAGGUUUUACAUCAUUUUAUUACUCCUGCAAAAUAGUGCAUUUUUCAUUUGUUAGUUUUCUGUGUAUAUUAGUUAUUUCUAUAUGUCUCACAAAUCACUUGUAGUGUGAUUUUGUAGCACUUUUCAGUUUUUGAAAUUGUUUCAAUUUAGUGCAUAAUUAAUCUUAGUGCUUGGUUUGGAUGUUAUUAAAUUUAGAUAUUAUUUGAAUUAUAUAUUUUGGAGUAUGGGGUAGGGAUACUGUGUACAUAUCUUUAUAUUCUCAGUUCUUGUUUUGGGGUAAAGAACAAUUUAUAUAGCUAUUUUAUAUUUUGUGAUAGGUAAAGUGUGUGGGGUUAAGAACAAUUUAAAUAGCUAUGUUAUAUUUUGUGAUGGGUAAAGUGGGGUGUGUGUG